UCCCCCCCUUGUUCUUCUUUAGGGCCCCCACCCGCUGCUCAGGGGUGGGGGCCGGGGGGGGGGACAAUAGGUUCCCCCUUCAUGUUAGAAGCCCCCACUCACGCAGCAUGGGUGGGGGCUUGGGAGGAGGGACACU